rnacentral:rRNA from 1 species
UACGAAGGGUGCAAGCGUUAAUCGGAAUUACUGGGCGUAAAGGGUGCGUAGGCGGUCUGUUAAGUCUGAUGUGAAAGCCCACGGCUUAACCGUGGAGGGUCAUUGGAAACUGGUCGACUUGAGUACAGAAGAGGGAAGUGGAAUUCCAUGUGUAGCGGUGAAAUGCGUAGAGAUAUGGAGGAACACCAGUGGCGAAGGCGGCUUCCUGGUCUGUAACUGACACUGAGGCGCGAAAGCAUGGGGAGCGAACAGGAUUAGAUACCCCCGGUAGUCCCU